GCGGGUGUCGUAUAAUGGCUAUUACCCCAGGUUUCCAACCUGGUGACGACGGUUCGAUUCCGUUCACCCGCUCCA
rnacentral:tRNA from 5 species